rnacentral:rRNA from 1 species
GAUGAACGCUAGCGGCAGGCCUAAUACAUGCAAGUCGAGGGGUAGUGGAAGCUUGCUUCCAUGAGACCGGCGCACGGGUGCGUAACGCGUAUGCAACCUACCUCUAUCUGGGGGAUAGCCCGGAGAAAUCCGGAUUAACACCGCAUAAAAUCACAGUACGGCAUCGUACAAUGAUCAAAUAUUUAUAGGAUAGGGAUGGGCAUGCGUGUCAUUAGUUAGUUGGCGGGUAACGGCCCACCAAGACCACGAUGACUAGGGGAUCUGAGAGGAUGGCCCCCCACACUGGUACUGAAACACGGACCAGACUCCUACGGGAGGCAGCAGUAAGGAAUAUUGGUCAAUGGAGGCAACUCUGAACCAGCCAUGCCGCGUGCAGGAAGACGGCCCUCUGGGGUUGUAAACUGCUUUUAUCGGGAAUAAACCUGCUUACGUGUAAGUAGCUGAAUGUACCGAAGGAAUAAGGAUCGGCUAACUCCGUGCCAGCAGCCGCG